rnacentral:rRNA from 1 species
GACGAACGCUGGCGGCGUGCUUAACACAUGCAAGUCGAACGAUGAUGCUCCAGCUUGCUGGGGUGGAUUAGUGGCGAACGGGUGAGUAACACGUGAGUAACCUGCCCCCUUCUUCGGGAUAAGCUUGGGAAACUGGGUCUAAUACUGGAUAUUCUGCAAUUGUCGCAUGGUGGUUGUGGGAAAGAUUUUUUGGUGGGGGAUGGGCUCGCGGCCUAUCAGCUUGUUGGUGGGGUGAUGGCCUACCAAGGCGUCGACGGGUAGCCGGCCUGAGAGGGUGACCGGCCACACUGGGACUGAGAUACGGCCCAGACUCCGACGGGAGGCAGCAGUGGGGAAUAUUGCACAAUGGGCGCAAGCUUGAUGCAGCGACGCCGCGUGAGGGAUGACGGCUUUCGGGUUGUAAACCUCUUUCGAUGGGGAACAAGGCCAUAUUUUUGUGUGGUUGAGGGUACCUGUAUAAGAAGCGCCGGCUAACUACGUG